GCAGGUCCCGGACGCGGCGCUGAGGCCUCCAGGGCUCUACUGCAACCAGCUGGGCUCCGGCGAGCUGCUCAAGGCCGAGGCCGACGGCGCCCAGGUGCAGCAGGUGCAGGUGUUCGCCGACGUGCAGUGCACGGUGAAUCUGGUGGGAGAUCCCUACCUCAACGCGCCGGCUCCGUUGGCCAAUCCCAAAAAUCCCGCUGCUCCGCCGCCGCCGCCGCCGCCGCCGGGACAAGGGAAGAGCCUCCUGCAGCAGCUGCUGACGGAAUAGAACCCGGAACGUCGG